GACGAACGCUGGCGGCGUGCUUAACACAUGCAAGUCGAACGGCAACGCCCUGCUUUUGUGCUGUGCUCGAGUGGCGAACGUGUGAGUAACACGUGAGUAACCUGCCCUUCACUUUUGUAUAACUUCAGGAAACUGGGGCUACUACCGGAUAGGAGCUCCCGCUCCAUGGUGGGGGUUGGAAAUUUUCGGCGGUUGGGGAUGGACUCGCGGGUUAUCAGCUUGUUGGUGGGGUAGUGGCUUACCCAGGCUUUGACGGGUAGCCGGCCUGAGAGGGUGACCGGCCACAUUGGGACUGAGAUACGGCCCAGACUGCUACGGGAGGCAGCAGUGGGGAAUAUUGCACAAUGGGCGGAAGCCUGAUGCAGCAACGCCGCGUGCGGGAUGACGGCCUUCGGGUUGUAAACCGCUUUCGCCUGUGACGAAGCGUGAGUGACGGUAAUGGGUAAAGAAGCACCGGCUAACUACGUG
rnacentral:rRNA from 1 species